UUUAAGUAGCUAGUUCAUCUAAACAGUUAUCUUAUUAUCACUAGGCCUGCUACUACGCAUUGUGUAUUACAGUGUCAUGAUGAAAUUUUGUUAUUUGAUUGUAAUCCUCCUCUGCACAAUUCCUGUUUCUCAUGGCGAAAGACUCACUAGAAAUUGUCUGGCUAAAAAUGGAACCUGUGGGAGAAAAGGCGCACCUUGUGAUAAUGCGUUUGGUGAAGGAUGGAAAGAUAUAGGAAAGUGUUGUCAUGGCAAACCAUGUUGUAAAUAUUUAUGUAGAAGUACAAGCUACAGCUGUGGAUUUGAGCAAGUUUCUGAAUUAUGUGUUUUUAAGAAUUCAGCCAAUGAUCAAUUUGAUUGGACACGAAAUUCUGUAAGUUUUUUCAAAUUACUGGUCUGCAAU